CCUGAGCUCAGGCAAAAC
rnacentral:rRNA from 1 species